GAGUUUGAUCCUGGCUCAGGAUGAACGCUAGCGGCAGGCUUAAUACAUGCAAGUCGAGGGGCAGCGCGGGUAGCAAUACUUGGCGGCGACCGGCAAACGGGUGCGGAACACGUACGCAACCUUCCCAAAACUGGGGAAUAGCCCUCCGAAAGGAGGAUUAAUACCCCGUAACACAAUUAAGAGGCAUCUCUUGAUUGUUAUAGCUCAGGCGGUUUUGGAUGGGCGUGCGGCUGAUUAGGUAGUUGGCGGGGUAACGGCCCACCAAGCCAUCGAUCAGUAACUGGUGUGAGAGCACGACCAGUCACACGGGCACUGAGACACGGGCCCGACUCCUACGGGAGGCAGCAGUAAGGAAUAUUGGUCAAUGGACGCAAGUCUGAACCAGCCAUGCCGCGUGAAGGAUGAAGGCCCUCUGGGUUGUAAACUUCUUUUAUCUGGGACGAAAAAAGGGGAUUCUUCCUCACUUGACGGUACCAGAGGAAUAAGCACCGGCUAACUCCGUGCCAGCAGCCGCGGUAAUACGGAGGGUGCAAGCGUUAUCCGGAUUCACUGGGUUUAAAGGGUGCGUAGGUGGGCAGGUAAGUCAGUGGUGAAAUCUUCGAGCUUAACUCGGAAACUGCCAUUGAUACUAUCUGUCUUGAAUAUCCUGGAGGUGAGCGGAAUAUGUCAUGUAGCGGUGAAAUGCUUAGAUAUGACAUAGAACACCAAUUGCGAAGGCAGCUCACUACGGGAUGAUUGACGCUGAGGCACGAAAGCGUGGGGAUCAAACAGGAUUAGAUACCCUGGUAGUCCACGCCCUAAACGAUGGAUACUCGACAUAUGCGAUACACUGUAUGUGUCUGAGCGAAAGCAUUAAGUAUCCCACCUGGGAAGUACGACCGCAAGGUUGAAACUCAAGGAAUUGACGGGGGUCCGCACA
rnacentral:rRNA from 1 species